AUUGCACGCUGGCGGCAGGCCUAACACAUGCAAGUCGAACGAGUGGCGGACGGGUGAGUAAUGUCUGGGAAACUGCCUGAUGGAGGGGGAUAACUACUGGAAACGGUAGCUAAUACCGCAUACCAUCGGAUGUGCCCAGAUGGGAUUAGCUAGUAGGUGGGGUAACGGCUCACCUAGGCGACGAUCCCUAGCUGGUCUGAGAGGAUGACCGGCCAAACUGGAACGAUGACACGGUCCAGACGCCUACGGGAGGCAGAAGUGGGGAAUAUUGCACAAUGGGGGCAAGCCUGAGUCAGCCAUGCCGCGUGUAUUAAGAAGGCCUUCGGGUUGUAAAGUACUUUCAGCGGGGAGGCGUUACCUGCAGAAGAAGCACCGGCUAACUCCGUGCCAGCAGCCGCGGUAUUC
rnacentral:rRNA from 1 species